rnacentral:rRNA from 1 species
AUUGAACGCUGGCGGCAUGCCUUACACAUGCAAGUCGAACGGCAGCACGGGUGCUUGCACCUGGUGGCGAGUGGCGAACGGGUGAGUAAUACAUCGGAACGUACCUUAUCGUGGGGGAUAACGCUGCGAAAGCUGUGCUAAUACCGCAUACGCCCUGAGGGGGAAAGCGGGGGAUCGCAAGACCCCGCGCGAUUAGAGCGGCCGAUGCCUGAUUAGCUUGUUGGUGGGGUAAAAGCCCACCAAGGCGACGAUCAGUAGCUGGUCUGAGAGGACGAUCAGCCACACUGGGACUGAGACACGGCCCAGACUCCUACGGGAGGCAGCAGUGGGGAAUUUUGGACAAUGGGGGCAACCCUGAUCCAGCAAUGCCGCGUGAGUGAAGAAGGCCUUCGGGUUGUAAAGCUCUUUUGUCAGGGAAGAAACACCGGCUCUAACACAGUCCGGGAAUGACGGUACCUGAAGAAUAAGCACCGGCUAACUACGUGCCAGCCGCCGCAGUAA